GUUUGACCUCGGAUCAGGUAGGGAUACCCGCUGAACUUAAGCAUAUCAAUAAGCGGAGG
rnacentral:rRNA from 5 species